GAUGAAGAACGUAGCGAAAUGCGAUAAGUAAUGUGAAUUGCAGAAUUCAGUGAAUCAUCGAAUCUUUGAACGCAUCUUGCGCUCCUUGGUAUUCUGAGGAGCAUGCCUGUUUGAGUGUCAUUAAAUUCUCAACUACACUGACUUUGAAUUGGUGUGGCUUGGAUUUGGGGGGAAAAUUGUUGUGGGCUUUUUGUAUAGUCUGCUCCCCUGAAAUUGAUUAGCGGUACCUUUGUGGAACUGUCUACAGGUGUGAUAAUUAUCUACAUCUUAGACAUCUGCUGAAUGCUGCUUUCUAAACCUUACUUGUAUUGACAAUCUUGACCUCAAAUCAGGUAGGACUACCCGCUGAACUUAAGCAUAUCAAUAAGCGGAGGA
rnacentral:misc_RNA from 1 species